UGGAGAAUUUUGGACAAUGGGCGAAAGCCUGAUCCAGCAAUGCCGCGUGUGUGAAGAAGGCCUUCGGGUUGUAAAGCACUUUUGUCCGGAAAGAAAUCCUUGGCUCUAAUACAGUCGGGGGAUGACGGUACCGGAAGAAUAAGCACCGGCUAACUACGUGCCAGCAGCCGCGGUAAUACGUAGGGUGCAAGCGUUAAUCGGAAUUACUGGGCGUAAAGCGUGCGCAGGCGGUUUGCUAAGACCGAUGUGAAAUCCCCGGGCUCAACCUGGGAACUGCAUUGGUGACUGGCAGGCUAGAGUAUGGCAGAGGGGGGUAGAAUUCCACGUGUGAGCAGUGAAAUGCGUAGAGAUGUGGAGGAAUACCGAUGGCGAAGGCAGCCCCCUGGGCCAAUACUGACGCUCAUGCACG
rnacentral:rRNA from 1 species